rnacentral:rRNA from 1 species
UACGAAGGGUGCAAGCGUUACUCGGAAUUACUGGGCGUAAAGCGUGCGUAGGUGGUUUGUUAAGUCUGUUGUGAAAGCCCCGGGCUCAACCUGGGAAUGGCAAUGGAUACUGGCAAGCUAGAGUGCGGUAGAGGGUAGUGGAAUUCCCGGUGUAGCGGUGAAAUGCGUAGAGAUCGGGAGGAACAUCAGUGGCGAAGGCGGCCAUCUGGGACAACACUGACGCUGAGGCACGAAAGCGUGGGGAGCAAACAGG